UGCGCAGGCGGUUCGUUAAGACAGAUGUGAAAUCCCCGGGCUUAACCUGGGAACUGCAUUUGUGACUGGCGGGCUAGAGUAUGGCAGAGGGGGGUAGAAUUCCACGUGUAGCAGUGAAAUGCGUAGAGAUGUGGAGGAAUACCGAUGGCGAAGGCAGCCCCCUGGGCCAAUACUGACGCUCAUGCACGAAAGCGUGGGGAGCAAACAGGAUUAGAUACCCUGGUAGUCCACGCCCUAAACGAUGUCAACUAGUUGUCGGGUCUUCAUUGACUUGGUAACGUAGCUAACGCGUGAAGUUGACCGCCUGGGGAGUACGGUCGCAAGAUUAAA
rnacentral:rRNA from 2 species